rnacentral:rRNA from 1 species
UACGUAGGGUGCAAGCGUUGUCCGGAAUUAUUGGGCGUAAAGAGCUCGUAGGCGGUUCGUCGCGUCGGCUGUGAAAACCCGGAGCUCAACUCCGGGCCUGCAGUCGAUACGGGCGGACUUGAGUGUUGCAGGGGAGACUGGAAUUCCUGGUGUAGCGGUGAAAUGCGCAGAUAUCAGGAGGAACACCGGUGGCGAAGGCGGUCUGCUGGGCAGUUGCUGACACUGAGGCGCGACAGCGUGGGGAGCAAACAGG